rnacentral:tRNA from 1 species
GGGGUAUAUCUCAGUGGUAGAGUGUGUGCUUAGCAUGCACAAUGUCCUGGCUUCAAUCCCCAGUACUUACA